rnacentral:rRNA from 1 species
CCUACGGGGGGCAGCAGUGGGGAAUAUUGCACAAUGGGGGAAACCCUGAUGCAGCGACGCCGCGUGAGUGAAGAAGUAAUUCGUUAUGUAAAGCUCUAUCAGCAGGGACGAAAAUGACGGUACCUGAGUAAGAAGCCCCGGCUAACUACGUGCCAGCAGCCGCGGUAAUACGUAGGGGGCAAGCGUUAUCCGGCUUUACUGGGUGUAAAGGGGGCGUAGACGGCAGUGCAAGGCUGGAGUGAAAGGCGGGGGCUCAACCCCCGGACUGCUCUGGAAACUGUACGUCUGGAGUGCAGGUGAGGGAAGUGGAAAUCCUAGGGGAGCGGUGAAAUGCGGAGAUAUUAGGAGGAAAAACAGUGGCGAAGGCGGCUUACUGGACUGUAACUGACGUUGAGGCUCGAAAGCGUGGGGAGCAAACAGGAUUAGAUACCCCUGUAGUC